rnacentral:rRNA from 1 species
UUGGGAAUAUUGGGACAAAUGGGAGGAAACUCUGAUCCAGUGACGCCGCGUGAAGGAAGAAGGUCUUCGGAUUGUAAACUUAUUUUGUCUAGGAAGAAACAAAUGACUGUACUAGAUGAAUAAGCACCGGCUAACUACGUGCCAGCAGCCGCGGUAAUACGUAGGGUGCAAGCGUUAUCCGGAUUUACUGGGUGUAAAGGGCGAGUAGACGGUGUUGCAAGUCAGAUGUGAAAUGCUAGGGCUCAACCUUAGAACUGCAUCUGAAACUGUAAUACUAGAGUGCAGGAGAGGUAAGCGGAAUUCCUAGUGUAGCGGUGAAAUGCGUAGAUAUUAGGAGGAACACCAGUGGCGAAGGCGGCUUACUGGACUGUAACUGACGUUGAGGAGCGAAAGUGUGGGGAGCAAACAGGAUUAGAUACCCUGGGUAGU